UACGUAGGUGGCAAGCGUUGUCCGGAAUUAUUGGGCGUAAAGCGCGCGCAGGCGGUUUUUUAAGUCUGAUGUGAAAGCCCACGGCUCAACCGUGGAGGGUCAUUGGAAACUGGAGAACUUGAGUACAGAAGAGGAAAGCGGAAUUCCACGUGUAGCGGUGAAAUGCGUAGAGAUGUGGAGGAACACCAGUGGCGAAGGCGGCUUUCUGGUCUGUAACUGACGCUGAGGCGCGAAAGCGUGGGGAGCAAACAGG
rnacentral:rRNA from 1 species